CGUCAAGUCCUCAUGGCCCUUAUGCCUAGGGCUGCACACGUCCUACAAUGCAACACACAAAGGGAAGCAACCUCGCAAGAGUGAGCAAAACCCAAAAAAUGUUGCCCAGUUCGGAUUGCGGUCUGAAAUUCGACCGCAUGAAGUCGGAUUCGCUAGUAAUCGCGGGUCAGAAUACCGCGGUGAAUGUGUUCCUGAGCCUU
rnacentral:rRNA from 1 species